UACAGAGGGUGCAAGCGUUACUCGGAUUUACUGGGCGUAAAGCGUGCGUAGGCGGUUCAUUAAGUCGGUUGUGAAAUCCCUGGGCUUAACCUGGGAACUGCAGUCGAUACUGGUGGACUAGAAUGCGGUAGAGGGUGGCGGAACUCCGGGUGUAGCGGUGAAAUGCGUAGAUAUCCGGAAGAACACCGAUGGCGAAGGCAACCACCUGGGCCUGCAUUGACGCUGAGGUACGAAAGCGUGGGGAGCAAACAGG
rnacentral:rRNA from 1 species